rnacentral:rRNA from 1 species
AUGACCAGAGGACGCAUGUUCUGUGGUGGAAAGUUUUUCGAUCGGGGAUGGGCUCGCGGCCUAUCAGCUUGUUGGUGGGGUAAUGGCCUACCAAGGCGACGACGGGUAGCCGGCCUGAGAGGGCGACCGGCCACACUGGGACUGAGACACGGCCCAGACUCCUACGGGAGGCAGCAGUGGGGAAUAUUGCACAAUGGGGGAAACCCUGAUGCAGCGACGCAGCGUGCGGGAUGACGGCCUUCGGGUUGUAAACCGCUUUCAGCAGGGAAGAAGCGAAAGUGACGGUACCUGCAGAAGAAGUACCGGCUAACUACGUGCCAGCAGCCGCGGUAAUACGUAGGGUACGAGCGUUGUCCGGAAUUAUUGGGCGUAAAGAGCUCGUAGGUGGUUGGUCACGUCUGCUGUGGAAACGCAACGCUUAACGUUGCGCGGGCAGUGGGUACGGGCUGACUAGAGUGCAGUAGGGGAGUCUGGAAUUCCUGGUGUAGCGGUGAAAUGCGCAGAUAUCAGGAGGAACACCGGUGGCGAAGGCGGGACUCUGGGCUGUAACUGACACUGAGGAGCGAAAGCAUGGGGAGCGAACAGGAUUAGAUACCCUGGUAGUCCAUGCCGUAAACGUUGGGCACUAGGUGUGGGGGACAUUCCACGUUCUCCGCGCCGUAGCUAACGCAUUAAGUGCCCCGCCUGGGGAGUACGGUCGCAAGGCUAAAACUCAAAGGAAUUGACGGGGGCCCGCACAAGCGGCGGAGCAUGCGGAUUAAUUCGAUGCAACGCGAAGAACCUUACCAAGGCUUGACAUACACCGGACCGGGCUGGAAACAGUCUUUCCCUUUUUGGGCUGGUGUACAGGUGGUGCAUGGUUGUCGUCAGCUCGUGUCGUGAGAUGUUGGGUUAAGUCCCGCAACGAGCGCAACCCUCGUUCUAUGUUGCCAGCACGUGAUGGUGGGAACUCAUAGGAGACUGCCGGGGUCAACUCGGANGNAAGGUGGGGAUGACGUCAAAUCAUCAUGCCCUUUAUGUCUUGGGCUUCACGCAUGCUACAAUGGCUGGUACAGAGAGAGGCGAACCCGUGAGGGUAAGCGAAUCCCUUAAAGCCAGUCUCAGUUCGGAUCGUAGUCUGCAAUUCGA